ensembl:lncRNA
GACUAAACCAGGACUAAACCGGGUCUAAACCAAGACUGAACCAGGACUAAACCAGGACUAAACCAGGUCUAAACCAGGUCUAAACCAGGACUGAACCAGGUCUAAACCAGGUCUAAACCAGGACUAAACCAGGUCUAAACCAGGUCUAAACCAGGUCUAAACCAGGACUAAACCAGGACUAAACCAGGUCUAAACCAGGUCUAAACCAGGUCUAAACCAGGUCUAAACCAGGUCUAAACCAGGACUAAACCAGGUCUAAACCAGGUCUAAACCAGGACUAAACCAGGUCUAAACCAGGUCUAAACCAGGUCUAAACCAGGUCUAAACCAGGUCUAAACCAGGUCUAAACCAGGUCUAAACC